rnacentral:rRNA from 1 species
GAUGAACGCUGGCGGCGUGCCUAAUACAUGCAAGUCGAGCGAACGGACGAGAAGCUUGCUUCUCUGAUGUUAGCGGCGGACGGGUGAGUAACACGUGGAUAACCUACCUAUAAGACUGGGAUAACUUCGGGAAACCGGAGCUAAUACCGGAUAAUAUUUUGAACCGCAUGGUUCAAAAGUGAAAGACGGUCUUGCUGUCACUUAUAGAUGGAUCCGCGCUGCAUUAGCUAGUUGGUAAGGUAACGGCUUACCAAGGCAACGAUGCAUAGCCGACCUGAGAGGGUGAUCGGCCACACUGGAACUGAGACACGGUCCAGACUCCUACGGGAGGCAGCAGUAGGGAAUCUUCCGCAAUGGGCGAAAGCCUGACGGAGCAACGCCCGUGAGUGAUGAAGGUCUUCGGAUCGUAAAACUCUGUUAUUAGGGAAGAACAUAUGUGUAAGUAACUGUGCACAUCUUGACGGUACCUAAUCAGAAAGCCACGGCUAACUACGUG